rnacentral:rRNA from 1 species
AAUGUCUGGGAAACUGCCUGAUGGAGGGGGAUAACUACUGGAAACGGUAGCUAAUACCGCAUAACGUCGCAAGACCAAAGAGGGGGACCUUCGGGCCUCUUGCCAUCGGAUGUGCCCAGAUGGGAUUAGCUAGUAGGUGGGGUAACGGCUCACCUAGGCGACGAUCCCUAGCUGGUCUGAGAGGAUGACCAGCCACACUGGAACUGAGACACGGUCCAGACUCCUACGGGAGGCAGCAGUGGGGAAUAUUGCACAAUGGGCGCAAGCCUGAUGCAGCCAUGCCGCGUGUAUGAAGAAGGCCUUCGGGUUGUAAAGUACUUUCAGCGGGGAGGAAGGGAGUAAAGUUAAUACCUUUGCUCAUUGACGUUACCCGCAGAAGAAGCACCGGCUAACUCCGUGCCAGCAGCCGCG